GGGGUCAUAGCUCAGCUGGGAGAGCGCUUGAAUGGCAUUCAAGAGGUCGGGGGUUCGAGUCCCCUUGGCUCCACCA
rnacentral:tRNA from 1 species